AUUGAACGCUGGCGGCAGGCCUAACACAUGCAAGUCGAGCGGAUGAAGGGAGCUUGCUCCUGGACUCAGCGGCGGACGGGUGAGUAAUGCCUAGGAAUCUGCCUGGUAGUGGGGGAUAACGUCCGGAAACGGGCGCUAAUACCGCAUACGUCCUGAGGGAGAAAGUGGGGGAUCUUCGGACCUCACGCUAUCAGAUGAGCCUAGGUCGGAUUAGCUAGUUGGUGGGGUAAAGGCCUACCAAGGCGACGAUCCGUAACUGGUCUGAGAGGAUGAUCAGUCACACUGGAACUGAGACACGGUCCAGACUCCUACGGGAGGCAGCAGUGGGGAAUAUUGGACAAUGGGCGAAAGCCUGAUCCAGCCAUGCCGCGUGUGUGAAGAAGGUCUUCGGAUUGUAAAGCACUUUAAGUUGGGAGGAAGGGCAGUAAGUUAAUACCUUGCUGUUUUGACGUUACCAACAGAAUAAGCCCCGGCUAACUUCGUG
rnacentral:rRNA from 1 species